GUCGAACGGCAGCAUGAUCUAGCUUGCUAGAUUGAUGGCGAGUGGCGAACGGGUGAGUAAUACAUCGGAACGUGCCCUGUAGUGGGGGAUAACUAGUCGAAAGAUUAGCUAAUACCGCAUACGACCUGAGGGUGAAAGUGGGGGACCGCAAGGCCUCAUGCUAUAGGAGCGGCCGAUGUCUGAUUAGCUAGUUGGUGGGGUAAAGGCCCACCAAGGCGACGAUCAGUAGCUGGUCUGAGAGGACGAUCAGCCACACUGGGACUGAGACACGGCCCAGACUCCUACGGGAGGCAGCAGUGGGGAAUUUUGGACAAUGGGCGAAAGCCUGAUCCAGCAAUGCCGCGUGUGUGAAGAAGGCCUUCGGGUUGUAAAGCACUUUUGUCCGGAAAGAAAUGGCUCUGGUUAAUACCUGGGGUCGAUGACGGUACCGGAAGAAUAAGGACCGGCUAACUACGUGCCAGCAGCCGCGGUAAUACGUAGGGUCCAAGCGUUAAUCGGAAUUACUGGGCGUAAAGCGUGCGCAAGCGGUUGUGCAAGACCGAUGUGAAAUCCCCGAGCUUAACUUGGGAAUUGCAUUGGUGACUGCACGGCUAGAGUGUGUCAGAGGGGGGUAGAAUUCCACGUGUAGCAGUGAAAUGCGUAGAGAUGUGGAGGAAUACCGAUGGCGAAGGCAGCCCCCUGGGAUAACACUGACGCUCAUGCACGAAAGCGUGGGGAGCAAACAGGAUUAGAUACCCUG
rnacentral:rRNA from 1 species